UACGAAGGGGGCUAGCGUUGCUCGGAAUUACUGGGCGUAAAGCGCACGUAGGCGGCUUUCUAAGUCGGGGGUGAAAUCCUGGAGCUCAACUCCAGAACUGCCCUUCGAUACUGGAAGCUCGAGUCCGGGAGAGGUGAGUGGAACUGCGAGUGUAGAGGUGAAAUUCGUAGAUAUUCGCAAGAACACCAGUGGCGAAGGCGGCUCACUGGCCCGGUACUGACGCUGAGGUGCGAAAGCGUGGGGAGCAACAGGGAUUAAGAAACCC
rnacentral:rRNA from 1 species